rnacentral:rRNA from 1 species
AACGAACGCUGGCGGCAUGCCUAACACAUGCAAGUCGAACGAAACCUUCGGGUCUAGUUGCGCUCGUGUGCUUACCGCGUGGUAACCUGCCCUUAGGUUCGGUAUAACUCCCUGAGGGGGAUGCUAAUACCGGAGAGUGUCUUCGGACCAAAGAUCUAUCGCCUUUGGAUGGGCGCUCGUUGGAUUAGCUGGUUGGUAGGGUAAUAGCCUAUCAUGGCGACGAUGCAUAGCUGGUCUGAGAGGAUGAUCAGCCACACUGGCACUGAGACACGGACGAGACUCGUACGCGAGGCAGCAGAGGGGAAUAUUGGACAAUGAGCGAAAGUCUGAUCCAGCAGUGCCGCGUGAGUGAUGAAGGCCUUAGGAUUGUAAAGCUGUUUUACACGAGAUGAGAAUGACAGUAACGGGAGAAUAAGCACCGGCUAACUACGUG